CCAAACAUGAGUGGUUUACCUGUUAUAAAGGUAAUAGACAAACUCAGGUAGACAUGGUGAGCUACAGCAGAUAGAAGGUGUCAGCCUGGGGGACAGGUGAGGAAUAGGCUAAGGUAAUAAAGGUCACCUUAGGGACAGGUGAGGUACAACUGGCAAGGACAGUCUCACAGGAAAACAGGAGAUGAACAAGCACAGGUAACAAUGGUCAGCUUAGGGACAGGUGAGCUACAACACAGCCAAACAUGAGUGGUUUACCUGUUAAACAGGUGAGAACCAAACUCAGGUGGACAUGGUCAGCCAGAAAAGUAGAUGAGUUAAAACAGAGAGAGGGUAUCAGCCUGGAAAUCUGGUGAGGAAUAGGCUCAGGUAACAAUGGUCACCUUAGGGACAGGUGAGGUACACCUGGCAAGGACAGUCUACCAGGAAAAUAAGAGAUGGACAAGCACA